rfam:Eubacterium sp. CAG:581 genomic scaffold, scf305
AUCCCCCUACCUGAUUUGCGAAUAUGCGAAAAUAACCCUACAACUUUUUAAAAGGGAGCACGGACUCCAUAUGCGGUGUUGAAGACCUUAUGAUUCAUCAGGGAUCCUAAAGCUGUUGGGAGUGCACCCACCUGUCAUUUUGUAGGCAGGUUAUAUUUAAGCAUUUACGGUCAGGUGGGGUUUUU